CCGCUUAACUCCCUGUUGACCGGAGCGCUCGGUGCGGUGUUCGGCCCCGCCGUGGGAGGCGGAUUGUGUGCUGCCUGCCGUCCUUUAUAAAGGACGGGCCCCGCUACAGGGGGUGGGCUCACGCUGCCUGCAGUUUCUGCUGGGGGACAGGCCCAGUUGCAGGGGACAGGCCUUGCUAUAGGGUAAGAGCUGUGCUGUAGGGGACAGGCCCUACUCUAGGGCAAGAGCCGUGCUAUAGGGGUCAGGCCCUGCUAUAGGGGACAGGCCCCAUGCUGCCUGCAGCUCCCUAUAAGGAACAGGUGCCACGAUAGGGGACAGGCCCCAUUAGAGGGUUCAUUCAGUAUGGGCCCUGCAGUGACUCAGCUGCAGGCUGGCUGGUUUUAUUGCUGCACCCCUCUGCACUGGGAAAAAAAGGGGGCGAUUAUAUUCUUGCGUUGAGACUUGAGACUCCUGUGUGUUGUUCAGACCUUUUGCUUGAGAACUUAGCCAUCUUGUGGAGCAACAGGCGAGAAAGUGAAUAGUUCUGACGUUGUUUAAAUGUGAUCUCCAGUGCCAUAUCCUGGUGAACGCUGGCUGUGCGGUCUGCAGAGCUUGCAGGUCCUGUGAUGGAAGCAGCACAGCUGGGGAAUUUCUGUUGGGACAGCAUCCAUCUUUGAGCCCUGCCCUCCUCCCAGGCCUGAGGUAAUUAGAGUCCCAACCAGACUACACAAAUGCACUGCUGCAACACACACACAGCUGCUCAGGGGCAGGCGAUGCACUCUGUACACUUCUAUAGUGCAGGAGUGGAGAAACUUGCAGGGUGUGGAUAACCAGCAGCUCCCUGUGUGCUGUUUAAUACCUACACCCAUCCCUGGGCCUUUCUGUCCAGUGCCACUGUCUGGCUGAAUUGCACUGGGACCAAAACAUUGCGUUCCCGUUGACCUGAGGGAGAAAGGGGACAGUGCUUGGAGUCAGUCCAUCUGCUUGCUUGACCCACUCUGGGAGAAGCUGCUGCUGCUGCCGUGAGAUUUUUGCGGAUUUGAGGACGAUGCAACAUCCUGCCCAGAGAGAUGAGAUGCUGACGGCUGCAGGGGGGGGUAAAGGGCUUUGAGAGGAGGAAGGGAUUGAGAUCAGCAGAUGUUGGAUUGAGCGGCUGCAAUGAAAACAGCUCUUUCAGCUCCUUUGAGCGGAGCUGGAGCAAAAAGCAAUUUGGGGCAAUAGAUCUAGCUGCAUGCUUAAGGAAAGGGAUGCAACUCACCUUCAUGUCAGUUUGCCCCAGAGAUGGCGAUACCCUUCCAGGCAGCAAAGCAGAUGAGGCAGGGGCCCCACUACGGGCUGUGCUGCUCAGGAGGGGACAGGAAGGAGGGCUUGAUCCCAUUUAUCACCUGCACCUCUCCUAAGCUGGAAAAUGAGGACAGUGGUAACAUUAUUAUAAAACACCUGCCAGCCAACUGUCCCACUGGUCCCCAGCAAGGGGAUGAGCUUCCAUAAACGUUUGGUUCUUUGAAGGGGGAAAAAAAAAAUGGUGGGAGACUUUGGAAAGAAAAUCUCGAUUUUGCCAUUUCCCUUUGCCAGGCAGCUCGGGUUCCCUGGGAACACACACAGCUCUGACACAGCCAGUUCUUCUCAUCGAGCACAGGAUGAGCGUUUAUUGUCUUGUGAUCAAAACACAAACAGAAGGCAGAGCCCCGCGAGUGACACAAAGCAAACACGCGGACACGAGCAAAACCAGGAGCCGGGUCCGGGUUAAUGGUGUGAAGAGACUGAAUGUAAACAUUAAAAACCAUAGAGGAGCCCGAAGAAUUUAAGCCAUGGCAGUUCAGGCAGCACUGAGUCGACUUGCUGGAAUUUGGGUUUCUGGCAUUGAAAAGGAUGGAAGGGGGGAAAUGCGUUUCGAGAUGGCAGCUCCCAUCCACGGAGCUCCACUUAAGCUCUUUAGAAAUCUCAGGCAGUGUUUGCUCAUGAUUUAGCAAUCCUUUUGCUAACGAUGGUCGUGAUUUUGGUGUCUGCCUCCAACCAGUAUUGGUUUGAAGCUCUGAAGUAUCCCCUUCUCUGCACUGAGCAGGUUGGAAAUGCAAGAUGGGCUCUUUGAAAGACCCCCAGAUUCCCCAAAGGGAAGAAGAGAAGAAGUACAGAGUCUCUUGGCAAUGUUUCUCCUCACGGUUCUUUUAUCACUCUCUGAUGGCAAGCGACACAGAACGCUUAAAAUCACACUUGACACAUGACAAAGGCACCUAAAAGCUUGGCAACGCAACCAGGUCGUAUUCUAUGAUGAAGGCUUCAAGCAUUUGUAAUUACAAACACAGUGCACACUUGCAAGAAGAAAACACCCUUGUGUUCAGCACAUGAAAUAUCCCCAAGGCAGCGAAGGGCUGGUGCUGCAGCAGGGGUCAGUGCUGCUCGUAAACCAAGGUCAGAGGAGGCUCUGCCCUCCCACUGAUGUUUGCUGUUGCUUUGGCCCUAACAACAAAGGUGUUGUGCAGACUCCAAGCUGUACUUUGCUGAGUGUUUACGGAAUGACAUGGGAAAAGUUAAUGGAGCGAAGGGGAAGCUUUGCAGAGGGGAACGGGGAACAAAGAUUUCUCCUUCGUGAACUAACAUCAUUAGUUAAGGCACAUGUAGAAAUGGUUUUCAAAAGAUCACUUGCAAAUCAGUUCCUCCUAGCUGGGGCAGCCUCCCUGUCCCUGUCCGGGAGCCAGGUUUGCUUUCCAGUUACUUAGUGUGAACACGGAGUGACUCGGGCUCCAGCACCUCUGGCAUCCCCCAGAGCUGGCAGGCCGUGGGGCCAACCCAAACCUCCAGACCUGGCUCUGCACAGGACCAGCUGUCAGAGCUGAAGAUGCUUAACGCUCACUCCCUUCAGAAAUAUUGGGAACUGACCUCCCAGGCAGACAGAGUUCCCAGCAGGGUGCUGGGGGAAAGGGGAAAGCACAGCCUUUGUGCUCGGGUCGCUGCAGGACACAGGGAAUGGGAUGGCUCAGGCUCUGGCUGUCCUGCUGGACAUGCAUGAGAUGAAGGUGGGUGAUGAGAUCAGUGCUAGCUCUCAGGCAUACAAUCCCUCCCAACAGCUUUAUCCUCUUUUGCUGAUUCCUGGGGAAAGGCAAGAAGUUCUGCUUGUACCUGGAAGGAAGUGCUGCUGGAUGCACCGGCGCCAGCUCUGCACUGCCGACAAUAGUUAUGAGGACUACUGAGCUUCCCUUGGUCUAUCAGACAGCUCACUGCACGAUGGUGUACGUAUCUAUCCAUUGCAGUGGAAUUGCUCCCAAACUGCCCUGGGGCCCAGCGCUGAGAUAAGGGCCCCAGCAGCUGGAGGCCAGAACACAGGACAAGGCAUGUCAGUUCAGCACAUGUGGGGUCAGCAUGGAAACCCUGGGAUGGCACAGAUAUCUCACACUGCCUGCCUGUAAGAGGGCGAGCAUCCGCAGGCUCAGAGCCCAACGCCAGUUGGCUUUACCAUAACUUCCAGUGGGCUUUCGGCGAGCACUCAUUAACAAAAUGAGAUGAAUCUGCACCUCUGCAGCAUACAGAUCCAGCUAAAGCUUUUGGGAGCGUGGAAAGCAGGACUUAUAUCCUAAGAGCAGUUCUAGCCACAGAAAUGGGGACUCCACUUCUGAGCAACACUCACCCACAGUGAGCACUGCCUUACGAAGGAAUCUUCACCAGAGAGCACAGGCAGAUGAGGCUGCAGAUUGCACAGCCACCUUCAGAUCAGCAGUACCAAAGAAAUCAGGUGUUGCAUUUCCCAGUGUGGAGUGAAAGAUUCCAGAUUACUCAUCUGGGAGAGCCAACGCCGGCUGGUAAUCAUGCUCAGACUGUGGUUGUUCCAAGGACAGACAGCUUGGUGGUGCGUGGGGAGAGCAACGCUGGCAGUGCUCACAUUGCAGGGAGCUCAGCCACAAUCACAAGGAGCCCUCGAGCAAAGGGCAGCGAGCAGUGGGUUCCUCGGCCUGCAACGAGGCAAAGGCUGGAGCAGCACAAGGGAAAAACCUUCAGAUGUUCCGAUCCGGCCGUGCGGAGCUCUUGGCGUGCCAUAGCAGGCAGCACACAUCUUCUGCAGCCACGAGGGGACAAAAAAAAAACCAACCAGAAAACCCCACGAAGAGCGGAGCGUACGGAGGGGAAUGCAAAUGACCUUUUCAGAUAAUGAUAAAAGGAGCAAAAAAAGGAGAGAAUCCAGGCAGCGUGCAGCCCGGGGCUGCCUAAGGCCAUUGGUUUCCCGAGGGGUAGUUGGGCACCGUGGGGUAUUCGGGCAGGCUGUUCCCUGCAAAGUUGUUGUAUUGGGCCUCUCUGCUGGGGGGGUUCCUCCAUGCACCGCUGUGCCAUUCAUCCUGAGCCUUCUGGAAGCUCCCGCCGGCCCCUCGGUAGAUUUUGUGCACCCUCAAAAUGCAGACAAGCAUCGCCAGCGCUGCCAUCGUGAACAUAAUGGCAGGGAACAGCAUGAACACAGCAGCUGCCACGUUGGUGCUGAAGAACGUGAUGGCCGCCAACCACCCACUGCAAGGGAGGGAAAGGGGAACACAGCGUUAGAGCAGCUUCACAGCUCCUGGAAACCGAGAGAGCACAGAGGACAGUGCAGAGCUCAGCGCUGCUUGGAUGGUAUCUCCCCAAGAGCCCAGAGCCGGCUUGCCAGCACUUCCACUGCCCCCCUGCAGGUUGUGGAGUGGCCCCUGGGAGGAGGCUGUCCUUACCACGCUCCCCAUCCGGAGAAACCCACUGCCUGCAGGAAGGUGAGGACGAACUGCAUGCCGAAGACGAAGAAGAAGGUCAUGAAAUUAAAGGAGCUGUCCGACCGAAAGGCUUUGUACACCGGUCGGAACCAGCAGACGUAGCUGCAGGGGCUGAAGAGGAUCAGCCAGAGGAUGGCCAAGCCAAAGUUGACACCAUAGCCACCUCCAAUCCACCACGCCAGGCAGGCAAUGAUGUUCACGACCAGCGUGAUGCAGUAAAAGAUCCAGACGUGGUAGAUCCUCUUCACCAGGGACUGAUAAUCGAUGGGUAUCUCAUCCGAAAAGUUCUGGUAGAAGCAGGGCUUCAGGGGGAUGAAUUUGGGGAGCGGUGGGAAGUUAUUCACCUUCUCUGCCAUGGUGGUUCAGGGCGUCGCUGGGCCACGACAGCCGGACGGCAGCAGAGCGUCUCAGUGCUGCAUGGGGCUGGGAUGGUGCCUGGCUCCCUGCAAGGACGCCCAGCGCCGCCCGCCCCGCUCCGCUCAGCGCCGCUCCCCG
rnacentral:lncRNA from 1 species